UCCUGCAAGUGUAGUUACGCAGCGUGCUCUCCGGUGUCAGAGUUUGGAAGUACGAUGCGAUUCUGAAUUUCUUGUCAUAAAACGGAUAAAGGCCGAGAUGAGGCGCGGGAGGAAAAGAAAGUCGGUAGCUGAAGCUUCAGCUCAGCAGGAAAAGUCGGAGGCAGAGUUGCCUGACCCUCAAAAGAAAUCCAAAUCUGAGAACCAAACCAGCCACGCUAGCGAUACAUUUUGGCUAAAAAUAGAACAUUGCAAAUCCUGACAAGUGUACAAGCGCAGAGCUGUGGAACUGUCCGAGGCUCUGCGCGUAGAAUUUGGGGAUCUUAAGAUAGAUCUAAAUCCAGACCCCCCACGCCGAAAUACCUUUGAAGUCACCAUGAUUUUCAAGAAUGUUGUCCAAAUCUGGAGUGGCAUCAAAAAAGGCCCACCUCGCAAGCUGAAGUUCCCUGAGGCUAGUGUUAU